UUUUGUGGGCGUGGGGUUGGUUUGUUUGUUUUACAGUUGGUAGUUUUUUUAAGCAUAUAGCAAUCGAUUUAUUUUUUUUGUGUGUAUUAGAUCGAAUUUGAAGUUGGUCUUUGUAAUCAUAUUAUUUUGUGCUUCUUCACGGACUAUUCCUACUUGAGAACUACUUCAGAAAGAGCACUCUUGCUACUGUUUUUGUUGUAAAAUAAUCGAAUUUGCAAUGAGCAUUGGUAUGUUCAAAAAAAAGUACUGGUCAAUGAAGACACAUAUUUUGAAUACUUUCGUCCUUUCACAAAAGUGUAAUGUGUCGCCUCUUAUGUGUUUCACACAAGUUUUAUGA
rnacentral:lncRNA from 1 species